rnacentral:rRNA from 1 species
GAUGAACGCUGGCGGCGUGCCUAAUACAUGCAAGUCGAGCGAACAGACGAGGAGCUUGCUCCUCUGACGUUAGCGGCGGACGGGUGAGUAACACGUGGAUAACCUACCUAUCAGACUGGGAUAACUUCGGGAAACCGGAGCUAAUACCGGAUAAUAUCUUGAACCGCAUGGUUCAAUAGUGAAAGACGGUUUUGCUGUCUCUUAUAGAUGGAUCCGCGCCGCAUUAGCUAGUUGGUACGGUAACGGCUUACCAAGGCAACGAUGCGUAGCCGACCUGAGAGGGUGAUCGGCCACACUGGAGCUGAGACACGGUCCAGACUCCUACGGGAGGCAGCAGUAGGGAAUCUGCCGCAAUGGGCGAAAGCCUGGCGGAGCAACGCCGCGUGAGUGAUGAAGGUCUUCGGAUCGUAAAACUCUGUUAUUAGGGAAGAACAAAUGUGUAAGUAACUAUGCACGUCUUGACGGUACCUAAUCAGAAAGCCACGGCUAACUACGUG